rnacentral:tRNA from 1 species
CCCCUGGAGGUUCAGUGGUUAAGACUCUGAGCUUCCAAUGCAGGGGGCACAGGUUUGAUUCCUGGUCAGGGAA